AGGGUAGAUGUGUAGUUCUCAACUCUUGGAAGGAAGUUUAUUGACCGUUGCGGAAGGGGUGAACUGUCUGGAGCUCAGCCAGAGCACUGAGUCUCUGAUGACUGGACUGAUGUGGUGGAACACAUAGACAAAACAGAGUAGAGGCCUGGUUGAAUUCUGGGGGCCCAACCAAGGGGAGAGUGGAUUGUUUGAGGACCAAAUACUAACUUUGCUAAGGAAGUUACAGUUAUUUACAAAUUCACUAUGCCCACUCCAAUAGACAUUGAAGUCAAUGGUCAGAUCUUACAGGCUGCUGUAUAUCGGAUGUAGAACUGCUACAUUAACUUUCUCUAAAAAUAAACCAGUUUUCUGAAUAUUCAAAUCCUUGAUAGUUUUCAAUAUCUGAAAUUAUUUAUAAACAUAGAUUAUACUAGAAAUUAUUUAUGAAUGGUUUUGUAGCCAACAGUAUAUUAGUAGCCUUUUUAAAAGGCUAGUGAAACAUUCUCUUACAAAACAGCUCUUUAAUUUUGUGUCGUUGUUUCUCAGUUUGUUUGUUAACCUGUUUGCAUGAUAGCCUCUUAAAAAGGACUUAUUUACAAUGGUAAAUAAAGCUUUGUGUGUAUAAGGUGAAUAGCAGCAUGUG